rnacentral:rRNA from 1 species
AUUGAACGCUGGCGGCAUGCCUUACACAUGCAAGUCGAACGGCAGCACGGGAGCAAUCCUGGUGGCGAGUGGCGAACGGGUGAGUAAUAUAUCGGAACGUGCCCAGUAGUGGGGGAUAACUGCUCGAAAGAGCAGCUAAUACCGCAUACGACCUGAGGGUGAAAGGGGGGGAUCGCAAGACCUCUCGCUAUUGGAGCGGCCGAUAUCAGAUUAGCUAGUUGGUGGGGUAAAGGCCUACCAAGGCAACGAUCUGUAGUUGGUCUGAGAGGACGACCAGCCACACUGGGACUGAGACACGGCCGAGACUCCUACGGGAGGCAGCAGUGGGGAAUUUUGGACAAUGGGCGCAAGCCUGAUCCAGCAAUGCCGCGUGCAGGAAGAAGGCCUUCGGGUUGUAAACUGCUUUUGUCAGGGAAGAAAUCCUCUAGGUUAAUACCCUUGGGGGGAUGACGGUACCUGAAGAAUAAGCACCGGCUAACUACGUGCCAGCCGCCGCCGUAAUAC